rnacentral:rRNA from 1 species
UACGUAGGUGGCAAGCGUUGUCCGGAUUUACUGGGCGUAAAGAGCGCGCAGGCGGUCGUUCAAGUCGCGUGUGAAAGCCCCCGGCUCAACUGGGGAGGGUCAUUCGAUACUGAUCAACUUGAAGGCAGGAGAGGGUAGUGGAAUUCCCGGUGUAGUGGUGAAAUGCGUAGAUAUCGGGAGGAACACCAGUGGCGAAGGCGACUACCUGGCCUGUUCUUGACGCUGAGGCGCGAAAGCUGGGGGAGCAAACAGG